rnacentral:sRNA from 1 species
CUCGCAGCCCGACUUGAGCGGAAAUCCUUUUUUGCUUAUACAAAUGUUCUAUUUUAUGUGGAAUCUUCGUGCAAAAAAGAUUGGGAGCGGAAGGCGGAAAUAGCU